rnacentral:lncRNA from 1 species
CAAUCUUUAUAUCAUGUACAUGAUAUAUGGACAUACGCACAAACAGACAUACAACAUAUAAUACAAAUGUGCACACAUAACACAAUAAAGGCCUUGUAGCUAUUUUAGGUGAAAUUUCCAUUGUAAUGUUUAAAUAUUUCAUAGUUGAUCAAAAAUAGAACUGAUCAGAAAAACAUUAACUUAGGUCUGUAGGAUCAAAAUUAUGAGCUCAAAAAAUACAGAAUCUAGGAAAAAGCAAGAGUCCUAGAAAAAAUGACCAGCCGGUAAUUAGAAAGUAUCACAAAAAUUAUUUAUUUUAUUUUAUUUAUUUAUUUAUUUUUUACAAUCCCUUUUAAAAUGACCUGCUUUUCCACAAUUGAAACAAGUUCCUGAUUUAUUGGGUUUAAGGGCUCCAGCCAUGGCUGCAGCAAAAACAGAAGCUUUGAUGUUCAAUUCCUCCCACUCCAGCACAAGCUUUCACAUAUUCACUCAAUGAGGCUUUUUGCCCUUUUAAUGGCUCCAAAAUAUGCUUACAUUCAGGAUUUGCAUUUUCAAAUGCUAAUGUUUCCAAUAAUACCUUUGCUAUUUGAUCUUGACCCAUUGCCCUCAUUACAAAAGUACGCGGCCUUGCAAGAAAAUCAGUGUAAGGUUCAGUAGCCCCUUGUAUAGUUUUAGUAAAGGAAGGUUGUGCCUGACCAGUGGGUAUCACACAUCUCUAAGCUCUUAAACCUGUCAAACUUGUUGAAGAUCUGGAUCUGUAUAUUGAGCCUGUCUCUAAAGGCACGGUAAUUGAUGUAGAGAAUCAGAUGUAACUGCAUUACUAUUACUGCAACAUUUGGCGUAGUCGGCAGGAUUUGCAUUUUCAAAUGCUAAUGUGUUGCAGUAAUAGUAACGCAGUUACAUCUGAUUCUCUACAUUUCUGGGCUCAUUCUUCUGUUCCUUUUGUCUAUUUCCAAUGCCUUUCCCACUGCCACACUCUGGGAUCACUGAAGCUUUAUGAUAAGUGCUGGAACCAGAUGUGCAGAGUCUUGAACUAUUUUUAAAAUAUCUUUAUUUUGUUUGUUUAUUUUUAUGUGGUGCUGAGGAUCCAACCCAGUGCUUCACAUGUGCGAGGCAAGUGCUCUGCCACUGAGCCACAUUCCCAGCCCCCUUUUGAGCUAUUUUUGAUCAUUCCUUUGCCAUAUCUUCUAGCUCAGCAUUUGCAGGUAUCUUCUGUGGUGCUGUGAUUGGGAUUCUGCUGCAUCUAAAGAUCAAAUGAGAAAGAAGUAUCUUCCCAACAUUAAUGGUUGAAUUGAUUCCGAGCAAAGAAAAUCACCGCACUUAUUUAUGUUUCUUUUCAUUCCUUUCAACCAUGUUCAAAGUUCUCUGAAUGCAUAUUUGUAUAUGUGUUGUCAGAGUAACCCUUCAGUAUUUCAGGAGAGCUAUUUUUUUUUUAAAAAUUCAAAUUCCAGUAAUUCCCGUGUGGCCUACAUAUAGCACACCAGUUUCCUCUUGUCCCUUAGCCAUCUGCUUUCCCUCUUGAUAUUUCCAUAUGACUUGGGCUGUUUUCUGUUGCUGUAUCUGCUCAACUGAGGCUGAGUCAUUCAUUAAGAAGCCAUUUUUAGUGCUGGGGAUGUAGCUUAGUUGGUGGAGUGCUUGUCUCACAUGCACAAAGCCCUGGGUUCAAUCCCCAGCACCAAAAGAAAAAAAAAAAAAGCUAUUUUUAAUUUAAGGUGUGUAGAGAGUCCCAGGUCAGGGGCUGCAUCUGUUGAAGGCCUCUUCUGGAGGGGACUCUGCCAUAUCCUGAGGCACGGCAUGAAGAGACCAGCUGGCUUUUGUAGCAAAUCUGUUCCCUUGACAACUCACUGAUCCACUAAUUAAUUAAAUAAGUAAUGUUUGUGGUGGUGGGGAUUGGACCCCAGGUCGUGUGCAUGUGAAAAAGCACUCUACCCACUGAGCCUUCGAUCCAUUCAUUUACGAAUGGAUAAAUCACUCAUGAGGGCCGAGUGCUCAGGCCAGUCAGUCCUCAGAGUUCCCCUUACUGCUCCCACAUCACAUCAUAUGAAUUCUGGAUGGCAAAAUUCAAACCAUAGCACCAUCAAAGACAAUCCAGGAACAGAAUUCACUUGUGAUAUUUUUCCCCAUGUUUUCUUUAUUUUCAUAUCAAUUCCUUCUCAUUAAAUACCUGCCUAUUGGCCCCGUCCAGCAAGUGUCCUCCACUACAAAGUCCCAGAGAUGAGUCAGCUGGUCCCUGAUAAUAGAAGGCAACCAAAUGACGACAUGAAUUUAUAUGUUCAGAGGACAGAGGAACGUCUCUUCUUGAACAAGAGGAGGCUGACAAAGAUCCUCUGCUUGGCCACACUUCUGCAGACUCCUGGACCCUCUCCUGGGCUUGCUGCUGCCCCACCUUGUAAACUUCAGUGCCUGGAGAGCACCCUGCUCAACAGUUUAGCAAGGACACCCCCUCCCCAGUAUCGGAUCAGGCUCCUCAUCCUCUGCCAUCCCUGGUGACAUCUGGCUACCCUGGCUGUCUCCAGAAGCAUCCUGUUUGGUGGGUUUAGCAAGGACAACCCUUCCCCAGCAUAUAGGGCCCUGAUUAAACCCUCUGCUUUAAUGGGUAAUUAUUUCCCUAAUGCUGCAAGGCAGGAGAUUGUCCGCAGACACCAGAAGCUGAAGAGGCAAGGAAGGACCCUCCCAACAGCUGUCAGAGGGAGAAUGGCCUUGCUGACCCCCUCAUUUGGGGAUUCUGGCCUCCAGAAUGGGGAGAUCGCAGGUUUGUGUUUUAAGUCACACUUAUUUCUGUGCUGUGUUUUGUUGGUCCUGGAAAUGGACCCACUGGCUCUCCCUGUGCUAAAGAUAUCUGCUCCUCCCAGUGCACCUUGCGAAUCACCUCAGCAUUAAGGAGACUGUUCUGAAUUUGAAGCUGAGGAGGCAUCCUGGAGCAGUUUGGCUUUGGUUAGGGGAGGGACCACGGAAAGUGGCCAAGGCAUUUGGAGGGCUGAGUUGAAAGACCACAGGGCAGGUCAGGGGCAUGUGGCAGGAAAGGAGCUGUGUCAGUUUUGAGCCCCUCAGUUCUCCUGUUCUGAGCUCAGGCCAUUCACCGCUGUGCCUGGGGACAUUUCUGUGUGACAGCUCUCAGCUCAGGGAUGAGCAUCAGAUCCAAGACCAGACUGUGCUCUUCCUCGGUGGGCAGCAAAGUCCAUGCCCUGAGCGUUGGGCAUUGCUCCCUUCCAACCCUCUUGUUCUUCUGAGGGAGACCUCAGCACAUUCUAGUCCUUCUAUGCUGGGGUGCAGAGUCCUGAUUCCAGCCCCUCCAGCAGCACAGGAAGGGGUGCAGUGACAGAGGGAGCGACACCUCUAUCCGGUGGCCUGGAUGGUCCCUCUGCCCUCCCUGAGCCAGGCUGGGCCUUGGCCUAUUGUGUGAAUGUUAAUAGAAAUACAGCAUCACUUCUUAAUAUUCUUAAAAGAAAAAGGUGUUUUUAGAAAAAAAAAAUUUCCAUAGAAGGAAAGUGAGGAUCUAGGAUUCGUCUGGAGGAGUGGGGUGCACUCCUUCACUGACUGGCACCCCAAGUGGACACACAAACACAAAUACAAGUGUAGACAUGUGUGUAGGUGCACACAUACAAGACACCCUCACAGCCUUCCCCAUCAACUCUGUUACACAUCCCCAUGACACACCCAUGCACCUCUGCGUGCCUUUACAUACGUACACCCACCCCCAUCCCUGUCUGGCUUGCACCUCUGAGGCUGCAGAUUGGAGGAAACUAGGAGAGGAGCCAGGAGAAGCCGAGGAGGAGCCUGGCAGCAGACAGAGGGAGCAUGUGGUCAUGCACAUCUUCUAGAGUUUUGCAGUUUCGCAUUGUAAACGCAAGUCUAUGGAGUAUUUUGACAGGUUCUGGGCUCCAGUUGUGUGCCUUCUUGAGGUGCGUCUGGAUCCUAGGUUCAGAAACAGCUUGCUGGGAAUUUCACUUGGAGUCACUGAAUCUGCAGAGGAGGUUCAUCUUAACGACACUGAGACCUGAACAAGGAAUAUCUCUGCAUUUAUUUAUAUUGCAUUUGAUUUCUUUCUACGUUUCAAGAUUUUCUGGAAGUAGGUACUUUAAUUUUGGGGGGUGCUAUUUUACAUGUGAACACAUUUAAAAUGCUCUUAUUCCAGUUUACACAUUCCACUCUUUCCUCUACAUGAUGCUACUAUAUAGGAAAUCAGUGGAAUUUUGCCUAGGGGCCAUGUACUUUGCAGCUUUCUAUCUCCAUCCAUUGUGCCCAAGACAUAGGAAGGGCUCUAUUUUUUUUUUUUUUUUUUUAGAUUUAUAGUUGUAGAUGUCUUUAUUUACUUAUCUUAUUUAUAUAAUGCAGUGCUGAGGAUCAAACCCAGUGCCUCACAUGUGCUAGGCCAGAGCUUUGCCACUGAUACCCCCCCAUCCCUCUUUCUAUUUGAUUUAUGAAAUUAUGACCAGAAAUCAUCAGAACUAUGAAUUUCAGAGCUUCACUGUUGACUGGCACUAGGGUGCGCAGAGGCAGCUCUGAAGGCUGAGCCUCCGGCGCCCUGCGCCCAUGGCGGCCAGCAGGGGGCGCGCAUAACUGUCUCCCACCACCUGCUUUUGGGGGGUCCUGUUCUGUGUCCUCUGCAAGUUUCCUUCUCCUGGGGACCCAGGUGGGAGAUGCCCUAAGGUGAAGAGGCCCUAAGGUGAGGAGCAGAGGUUCAUUACCCUGGGGACCCUCUUGGGGAGACAUCAUGACCUCGGGAUGCCUGGUAACUCUGUCUAUGGUGAGGACAAGAACUUCCUUACCCUGGGGACCCUCUUGGGGACACACCAUGACCUGGGGAUGCCUGGGGGCUCUGUCUAAGGUGGGAACCAGGGCUUCCUUCUCCUGGGGACCCUCUUGGGGAGACAUCAUGACCUGGGGAUGCCUGGGGGCUCUGUCUAAGGUGGGGACCAGGGCUUCCUUACCCUGGGGACCCUCUUGGGGAGACAUCAUGACCUGGGGAUGCCUGGGGGCUCUGUCUAAGGUGGGGACCAGGGCUUCCUUAUCCUGGGGACCCAUGUGGAGAGACACCAUGGCCUGGGGAUGCCUGGGGGAUAUGUCUGUGGUGAGGUCCAGGGCUUCCUUCUCCUUGGCAAUGGAGACUCCACUGUGGAUUCAGGAUGACCGAGGUCCAGGUGAGGAAAACAUGAGGAAGAAGCUUCCUGGGCACUGCCUGUGUGCUGAGGAAGAAGUUCUGCCAUGUCCUUUGCUUUCCCAGGUAAUAUUUCAGCAGAACUUCUUUUACAACAGUAUUCCUCACUGAGGGUUUGGCUGCUCAUCAUUAUGUCACUUCAGUGUGUUUUGUGUGGCCUGAGUGUAUUUUGGGGAGAAAUCCAAGGGCACAGGAGAAACACAGAUGGCCACUCAAGAUGGUGCAGGGAGGCCCAGUGCCUGGAGUCCCACUGGGGCCUGAGGGGACCUCAUUGCUUGCUCUUAUUCAUGUUUUAAUGAGUGAAUUUUUCUUAUAUGUUUAAGUACUUGAGAAAUAUUGAGAAGUUGAUGUGUUAAAAUUCAAAGUUACGUUAAGUGUAAAUAUUGUAUUUGUGUCGGUUACAAGAAGAACCUUGUGGUGGCGUUAUAGACCAGGGGUGGAGUGCUCCAUCCCAGGCACUCUGAGAUGAAACCAAAUGAAGAAGCAAAACACAGACUUGAAGAUCUACAGUGUAAAUUAACCACAAGUAAAGGAGGACUUCAGAUGUAUGAAUUUAGUGUACUGCAUGCUCCUAUUAGAACCUCAUUUGUCAUUGUCUAAAAUUUAUUUGAAAUAGCUGGAGAAAUCUGUGUAUCAGUUGGGUAUUAGAUAUUAAAGGAUUAUGAUUAUCUUCAACUGUGGCUGUAUUAAAGACUUCUUUCCAUUACGUGACUACAAUUUUUUAGAAGAAACCGGAUGAUGCUGGGGUUUGCUGGGUGAGUCUGUUCCCAGUGAGGUGGGCCCUCUGACCAGUCCCACAGUGGUGAUGGCUGUGUGGGCAGUUUCUUGGCUAAAGUAUCCAUAAUACUUGGGGUGCCAGGACCAGAAGCUCUGAGGGGCCUGUGGGCAGAAUGCUGGACAGCAGUGCCUAGAAUCCUCGGGGCCCACAGUUCCCAGGAGCCCCUGGUGAGAAUUGCAUGACACACCAGUUCUAC